rnacentral:rRNA from 1 species
AUGCACGCUGGCGGCGUGCCUAAUACAUGCACGUCGAGCGAACAGACGAGGAGCUUGCUCCUCUGACGUUAGCGGCGGACGGGUGAGUAACACGUGGAUAACCUACCUAUAAGACUGGGAUAACUUCGGGAAACCGGAGCUAAUACCGGAUAAUAUAUUGAACCGCAUGGUUCAAUAGUGAAAGACGGUUUUGCUGUCACUUAUAGAUGGAUCCGCGCCGCAUUAGCUAGUUGGUAAGGUAACGGCUUACCAAGGCAACGAUGCGUAGCCGACCUGAGAGGGUGAUCGGCCACACUGGAACUGAGACACGGUCCAGACUCCUACGGGAGGCAGCAGUAGGGAAUCUUCCGCAAUGGGCGAAAGCCUGACGGAGCAACGCCGCGUGAGUGAUGAAGGUCUUCGGAUCGUAAAACUCUGUUAUUAGGGAAGAACAAAUGUGUAAGUAACUAUGCACGUCUUGACGGUACCUAAUCAGAAAGCCACGGCUAACUACGUG